UACGUAGGCAGCAAGCGUUGUUCGGAGUUACUGGGCGUAAAGGGUGUGUAGGCGGUUCUUUUAAGUUUGCUGUGAAAUCUCCCGGCUUAACCGGGAGGGUGCGGUGAAUACUGAGGGACUAGAGUACGGGAGAGGAAAGUGGAAUUCCUGGUGUAGCGGUGAAAUGCGUAGAUAUCAGGAGGAACACCGGUGGUGUAGACGGCUUUCUGGACCGACACUGACGCUGAGACACGAAAAGCGUGGGGUAGCAAAACAGGG
rnacentral:rRNA from 1 species